AUACUCCGAUGGAAAUGGUCUCA
rnacentral:siRNA from 1 species